UCCGGUACCUUUAAGUGUGCUGCAGCCGUGUCGCAUCGUUGGUUACGUCAUUACGCUGGCUCGUUGUUCGGCGUUAGCGAUAGUCUUUAAAUUCACGGUGCGGACACGACCAGUGGAGCAAGCUCGGGCUGUUUCACGCAGUUCCGCCUGGCCAUCAGGAUUGGUUUUGCUGUUAUUGCUCGUUCGCGAGCGAUCCUUUUGUGGAGGCAACGGUUGGUAUUUUCACGUUUCUCUCUGGAGGGAAUUUCGUUCGGUGGCCUGCGUUCUGAAGUGGCUCCUUUGGGCUCUAUCUGUGUUUUGCAGUGGUUUAUUCAGUUCGCUUUCUCCCCGCGUUCUGGAUCCAUACUCGUGACUUUUGUCUCCGAGACCAGCUGGGUAUUCGGGUUUGGUGUACAUUAAUAUUGGACUUUAGGAUUGGGGACGAUCAGUAGUGGGGGCCAACCCAGUGGUGGUGGGUAUCCAGAGUUCACCUUUAUGGUAGUGUAGCGUCACUUGGGUGUACAGUGCAGUGUAGAUCACGUGUGGUCCUUUCAACCCACUCCGUAAGUACGGUCCUCCUGCUGGUAAGCCCUCUCUUGCCUUUCUUCUUUUAUUAUUUUGAUUUUCUAGUAUUGGUGUUUGUUCUGUAUGUUUGGUAUGUUGACGUGUUAUUCUGGUGGGCUUACCUCUAACCAUACCCGCAGUAGUGUGUAAAUAAGUGAGUAUAUGUGUGUGUGUUUGGGUGUAACCAUUUUAACAAAAGAUUUAAGAAUAUAUUGUGAAUACGCUUGAAAGUAAAUAAAUAUGUAUACGAUUAGAAAUAGAACCCUGUCUCUGUCUUGAUUGCACGGACUUGUUUGCUAUUGGGCGGGUAUCUUGUGAACUUUGGAAACCGUGAUCAAUUUGGGGCGUUUGUAAUUAUAAACUCUUUUCCCCUCGGGGGCCUAUACCCCCCGGGGGUGGCGUUGUCGAAAGUACCUUCCGGGUUUCCGCCAU